rnacentral:lncRNA from 1 species
GGUGAAGCUAAAUGGCGGUGGCCUUCCGUGGAGGCCGGAACGGCGUCGGAUCAGGACUCCGCAGUUUCUUCUCGUACCGGAUCUUCAUCUCCGCCUUGUUCUCUUUUCUCUUCCUCGCCACCUUCUCCGUCGUCCUCAACUCCUCUCGUCACCAACCUCACCUAGAUCACGUAAGCUUUUCCCAAUCCGAAUCAAAAUUUAGAAAUGAAUUUAGAAUCUGAGCUUCGAUUUUUGGUGUUUAGACAUUGCCGAGGACGUUUCAAUCGGAUCCGUUGAAAACGAGGUUAGAUCUGAUCCACAAGCAAGCCACCGAUCACCUCACGCUUGUGAACGCUUACGCUGCUUACGCUAGGAAGCUGAAGCUCGACGCGUCGAAGCAGCUGAAGCUCUUCGAAGAUCUGGCGGUUAACUUCUCCGAUCUGCAGGCCAAACCUGGACUGAAGCUCGAAAACGGGAACGCGAUCGAGGAGGAUGCGUUUCGGCAGAUCGAGAAAGAGGUUAAAGAUAAGGUGAAGACCGCGAGGAUGAUGAUCGUUGAGUCCAAAGAGAGUUACGAUACACAGCUCAAGAUCCAGAAGCUCAAGGAUACGAUCUUCGCUGUUCAAGAACAGUUGACGAAAGCUAAGAAAAACGGCGCCGUUGCGAGCUUGAUCUCGGCUAAGUCGGUUCCCAAGAGUCUUAACUGUUUGGCUAUGAGGCUUGUUGGUGAGAGGAUCUCUAACCCUGAGAAGUAUAAGGAUGCUCCGUUUGAUUCGGCUGUGUUGGAGGAUCCGAGUCUUUAUCACUACGCGGUUUUCUCUGAUAAUGUGAUUGCUGUUUCCGUUGUGGUGAGGUCGGUUGUGGUGAACGCUGAGGAGCCGUGGAAGCAUGUGUUUCAUGUGGUGACUGAUAGGAUGAAUCUCGCCGCUAUGAAGGUUUGGUUUAAGAUGCGUCCUUUGGACCGUGGUGCUCGUGUUGAGAUUAAGUCGGUUGAGGAGUUUAAGUUCUUGAACUCUUCGUAUGCGCCGGUCUUGAGGCAGCUAGAGUCUGCUAAGUUGCAGAAGUUUUACUUUGAGAACCAGGCGGAGAACGCGACUAGAGAUGAACAUAACAUCAAGUUCAAGAACCCCAAGUAUCUCUCGGUGUUGAACCAUCUGAGAUUCUACUUACCGGAGAUGUAUCCGAAGCUGAAUAAGAUCUUGUUCUUGGACGAUGAUGUUGUGGUGCAGAAGGACGUGACUGGGUUGUGGAAGAUUAAUUUAGAUGGGAAGGUGAAUGGAGCUGUUGAGACGUGCUUUGGCUCUUUUCAUCGAUAUGGUCAAUACCUAAACUUCACUCAUCCUCUGAUCAAAGAGAGCUUUAAUUAGAGUCUGCUAAGUUGCAGAAGUUUUACUUUGAGAACCAGGCGGAGAACUCGACUAGAGAUGAACAUAACAUCAAGUUCAAGAACCCCAAGUAUCUCUCGGUGUUGAACCAUCUGAGAUUCUACUUACCGGAGAUGUAUCCGAAGCUGAAUAAGAUCUUGUUCUUGGACGAUGAUGUUGUGGUGCAGAAGGACGUGACUGGGUUGUGGAAGAUUAAUUUAGAUGGGAAGGUGAAUGGAGCUGUUGAGACGUGCUUUGGCUCUUUUCAUCGAUAUGGUCAAUACCUAAACUUCACUCAUCCUCUGAUCAAAGAGAGCUUUAACCCCAAUGCUUGUGCUUGGGCCUUUGGGAUGAAUAUAUUUGAUCUCAAUGCUUGGAGGCGUGAGAAAUGCACUGAUCAAUACCAUUACUGGCAGAACUUGGUAAGUCCGUAUCUUUUCUUUGUAACUUAUGCAUAUCAAAUAAUCUCUUUAUCUUGUGUUGAUUGUGUGUUAAUCUCUCUUGAGCAGAAUGAAGACAGAAGUCUCUGGAAAUUAGGCACUCUGCCUCCGGGACUGAUGACAUUCUAUUCAAAGACGAAAUCACUGGACAAGUCAUGGCAUGUGCUUGGGUUAGGCUACAACCCAGGAGUGAGCAUGGACGAGAUUAAAAAAGCAGCAGUGAUACAUUACAAUGGAAACAUGAAACCAUGGCUCGACAUUGCUAUGAACCAAUACAAGUCUCUCUGGACUAAAUACGUCGACAACGAAAUGGAGUUUGUGCAGAUGUGCAAUUUUGGUCUUUAAAGAAAGAUAUCGAUGAAGAGGUAACCUCAAAUCGAUAUGUGUUCAGUCAUUCAGGGCAUUCUUUAGCUUAUAUACGUUUAUCUUUUACUAGGGAUUGGUCCGCCCUACGGGCGGGUAAGUUUACAAUAAAAUUCUUUAUAUUAAAAUAUAUUUUAAUUUUAUAAAACAUUUAAAAAUUAUUUUAAGUAUAAUUUGUUUUCUAAGAUCAUAUUGUAAAUUUCAUUUGUUAAACGUUAAACAACUGUUAUAAAUUUUCUUCUAAUAUCAUACCUUAUUUGUUAUUUGAGUUUCUAAGAAAAUGUAAAUUGGUAGUGCAUUAGGUUUGCAUUUGGAAUUGAUAUGUGUGAUACUGAUUUUAGUUUUUUUAAAAUGUUGUGUGUCAGGAAGUGUGAUUGCAUGAGGUCAUUUGGAUGAGGAAUUAAAUGUGAUGUGAGUGAGUUUGUAUGCUUCUGAAACUGAUUUAUAGUAUACAAUACCAGUAAAUUUGAUUUGUAUGAACAAUUUGAAUUGGAGAAGAAGUGUUCGGUUAAUAUAUUUCAAAACUUUAUGGGCUUUCAAGGAUUUUUGUGUUGUUGGUCGUUUAAGUUUGGAAUCCACACUCCAUUGAGUAACUGUUUUUUUUUUGCGCUUGGGAGCUCGUCAUCGUUUUGCUUGGAGUAUUUAUUUUUGCAAAACAGUUGAUAUUUAUACUUAUAUCAAGUGAUUCGUAAUAAAUUUAUGGUUAAACAUUUGGCCUCACAAUGUCUAUUUUAGUUAUUUCAAUCUCAUAGGAAUGAGUUUAUUUGUUUUAUACAACCAAUUCUCAUAGUUUAAUGUGAGUGACAUUCAUCCUACAUAAAAGUUGAAUAGGAGUAGUGUGUACUUUGUUUAAUCAUUUAUAAUCAGUUGGUAUAUUUUCUCUUUUUCAUAGUGGGAUGAUUGGUUUAAAGAACUUUAAUGGCAAAAAAGGAACCUUAAUGGCAAUCUGAAUUACGUUGGUUGAAUGAUGAUCUAAGGCAUAGCAAAGUCGGAUUUAGAAAGGUGGUAAAAUCAAGAUUUAGCCAUAGGUCAAUGAAAAUGUUAAACCGAUGGAGGCAUUAGUAGGAAAGCAAUGGUUUGUCAGCUCGAUCAGUUGGUCUAAAUGUUAAAUUAGUAACGCCAAUUAAAACCAAAGAUUCCAAUAGGAAAACUUGAAAAAACUUGUGAAAUGGAAGGUUUUGAACACGAAUGGGUUCAUUUAGUAUAUUGAUAUGUUUGUGAUUUUAAUGUUUUUAUUUGUGUGUUCCUCGGUUAAUUUAUUCUCAAAUGUUUUUAUAUGCUUAUUUGAUGAUAAGUGAUUUUUUUUAUAACAUGAUUAAGAUUAGCAAUUUUGUGAUAAGUUAACUAUCACAUUAUGUGUCAUGUUUUACAAUUAUAUUUAUUCAUAUUUUGGUUUCCUAAUAUUAUAAUUAUUAUUUUUAUAGGUAUUUUAACGGCUAAUGACUAAUUUUUUAGUUGUUGAUUUAUAUUUGUAAUAGUAAUUAAAAAUUCUAAAUUAUUGUUCUGCUUUAUUUUACUUAACUUUGCUUUCAAUUAAUAUUUAUUUUAUUAAUUGUGUUUUUACAGUCUUAAUAUUGUUUUUUUUUGGAAUUACCAUUUUCAUUAUAAAUUAAAAGGUUUUGGUUCAGUAUAUUUAUGUAUUAGUAUAGCUUUUUCGUUUCUAGAUUGAAGAGAAAAAACAAUGAAAAUAUUUGAAGUUUAAUAGAAUUUCAAAUUAAAUGUUAUAUAAAUUAUAUAAAUAUUUGAUACACGUCAUUUUAUAUUUAUUAUUUUAGUUUUUAUUUAGAUUUGUAACAAUUUAUGUAACUGGAAUUUUUAUCACAAAUAUACAAUUUAAUUGUCCCAGCAUAUCUUUACAUUUUAAUCAAUAUGUUUAAUUAAUGUUAUUUCAUAUUCGUUUGAUUGUAAUUUCGAUAUUGGUCAUCAUGUUUGUUACGGUUAGUAUAGCACAUCAAAAUUGUGAGAAUCUGAGAACCUGUUUUUGUAAGCUUCCACUCUUUGGCUCAACAGCCCCAUAGUAUGGAAUCGAAACCUGUUUGGGCACUUAUACAACCAAUUUGAGCAUGGAAGAGUGUGAUUCUUGUCGUGUCUAAAACUUGUGAGCAGAAGUUGGGUUACGGAACUAAAGACGAUAAGUGAUAAUCGUAGGAAUUUUCUUUAUUGUUAGGAUAAUUUCAAGACAGAGGAGAUGAUUUCAGGGUGCCCAAAUACAAAGUAAAGAUAAUCUUAUUCAAGAGUUGUGUUAUAAAGUCUUGUGUGCCUUCUUUGAUGGGACCCUCUGGCGCAGGAAACAGAGCUUCUCCAGCAGUGUUUCCGCUCAAUACAUUAGGUACUCCAGGUGAUGUGUCCGUAUCACUUCGUUCGUCCGCCGGUCGGUUAUGCUUCUGGAGGUGUUCUCGGACCCAUGGAGUCAGAGCCAUUGCAGAAGAUACACGUAGAUACUCUAUUUUUAUGCACCUCCACAAUUAUCAGAACUGGAUGAUCAGUUGACGUCACUCCCACGCAAUCUGCAGUUGAGAACGUGUAAGAUUCUUGAGAAAGUGUGUAGGAGGGAAGUGAUACAAACAUCCUGUUGUUCAAGAUUCUUACUCUUGGAAGAAGCUCUAGCCAGAGCCGCUUUCAUUGUUAAAGUAGAAAUGAGUGUCAGAUGUUGUAUUAAGGAAUAGUCGACCUGCAAGCAGAACUAAGUAAGCUCCAUAAGAUGUUCUGAAUCAGAACUUCUGAUGCACAAAGUGAAUGCACAGACUCUGUGAUCUUGACGAUCUGGGUAAGUUAGGUGUAGAUCGCAACUGUUGAGUCUGAAAAUCUGAAGUGAUUGUUGAUUCUGUAAGACUAUGUAGCAAAUUUUGAAUAAGCUAGUUGUGGAGUUCAUUCACAGAGUGCUCUCGCUCCUUAGUUGUGGCAGCUUUAGUGUUUGCUUCCUCGAUAUUCGUAGAAGUUUAAAAAAAAAAUGAAAGAAUACAAAAAUAAAUAGUUGAUAAGCUGUAUAGCAGUGAUUUUCAAAAUAGUGUGGGCAUAAAAAUGAAAAUUUGGAUAUAUUAGUCGACACAUACUCUAGUGAAAGACAUUACCUUGUUACAAUAUGCAAUCUCCAACUGUUUAAUGUUUCUGGCCUCUAAGCACACACCAGUUAUCUCCAUUCCAGUACACGGGGAAACAAUGCCUCCUCACCAAGUUCAACAUGUCAGAAACAUAGAUUGGAUAUAAGCACUCUAAAGGUUAAACAUGUUAACAUUUUAAAACACUGCAGAGAACAAUGGUACCUCAUAUAGACGACUCUAAACAGGUGCACCAGCUAUCCCCUCUUGUAGAAGACGCAAAAUCUUCUGAAAGAGUUUUAAUUGAUUGCUUAUUCGAGUUACUUUUAAGGAAUGGAAGUAAACCUGGUGAUCGGCGGUGGGACUGUCUAGUGGAGAUGAUGCGAGCGCCGAUGUUGUCCUGUCGAAUCUGCUGCGCUGAACCAGUUCCUGUUGUUUUAAAUCACAUUAAUCAGACCAAAUAUUAUGCGAGUAUAUUCAUUCUUCAAUUAAUUAUUGAGUGGCAAAAUUAAAAAUGAAAUAAUCAAUUGUUACAAAAUGGACAGAAACUUUAUGUUUGUUUAAUUUUUUUAAAAAUUUUGUGCAGUUAAGUGUUAGUUGAUAAUAAUUUUACGCAAACAAUACUUUUAAGUAUUUAAGCUGCUGGUUUCAAAUACUUUGGUAAUAAAAUGUUAAUGUCCUAAAGUAUAAGGGUGAGACUGGGGUUUUAAUAAUAUUGAGAGUUUAUAUCUACACUAUAAAUUAGUAAUUGUUUAUUAAACCAAUGAUUAAUGACAUUAACGUGUCUUCUUCACUAAAAUGUCUUGAGAUCUCUAUCCAUCCCAUCACUCUCCAGAGGCUAAUUCACACUCUAUCGGGCAAGCAAGAACCUCAUCCCCAUCUGAACUUUUUUUUUUUUAAACUGACUUAUAAAAGGUAAAGCUAAAUGGCGGUGGCCUUCCAUGGAGGCCGGAACGGCGUCGGAUCGGGACUCCGCAGUUUCUUCUCGUACCGGAUCUUCAUCUCCGCCUUGUUCUCUUUCCUCUUCCUCGCCACCUUCUCCGUUGUCCUCAACUCCUCUCGUCACCAACCUCAUCUCGAUCACGUAAGCUUCCGAUUCGUUUCACAAUCCGAAUCAAAAUUUAGAAAUGAAUUUAGAAUCUGAGCUUCGAUUUUUGGUGUUUAGACAUUGCCGAGGACGUUUCAAUCGGAUCCGUUGAAAGCUAGGUUAGAUCUGAUCCACAAGCAAGCCACCGAUCACCUCACGCUUGUGAACGCUUACGCUGCUUACGCUAGGAAGCUCAAGCUCGACGCGUCGAAGCAGCUGAAGCUCUUCGAAGAUCUGGCGGUUAACUUCUCCGAUCUGCAGGCCAAACCUGGACUGAAGCUCGAAAACGGGAACGCGAUCGAGGAGGAUGCGUUUCGGCAGAUCGAGAAAGAGGUUAAAGAUAAGGUGAAGACCGCGAGGAUGAUGAUCGUUGAGUCCAAAGAGAGUUACGAUACACAGCUCAAGAUCCAGAAGCUCAAGGAUACGAUCUUCGCUGUUCAAGAACAGUUGACGAAAGCUAAGAAAAACGGCGCCGUUGCGAGCUUGAUCUCGGCUAAGUCGGUUCCCAAGAGUCUUAACUGUUUGGCUAUGAGGCUUGUUGGUGAGAGGAUCUCUAACCCUGAGAAGUAUAAGGAUGCUCCGUUUGAUUCGGCUGUGUUGGAGGAUCCGAGUCUUUAUCACUACGCGGUUUUCUCUGAUAAUGUGAUUGCUGUUUCCGUUGUGGUGAGGUCGGUUGUGGUGAACGCUGAGGAGCCGUGGAAGCAUGUGUUUCAUGUGGUGACUGAUAGGAUGAAUCUCGCCGCUAUGAAGGUUUGGUUUAAGAUGCGUCCUUUGGACCGUGGUGCUCGUGUUGAGAUUAAGUCGGUUGAGGAGUUUAAGUUCUUGAACUCUUCGUAUGCGCCGGUCUUGAGGCAGUUAGAGUCUGCUAAGUUGCAGAAGUUUUACUUUGAGAACCAGGCGGAGAACUCGACUAGAGAUGAACAUAACAUCAAGUUCAAGAACCCCAAGUAUCUCUCGGUGUUGAACCAUCUGAGAUUCUACUUACCGGAGAUGUAUCCGAAGCUGAAUAAGAUCUUGUUCUUGGACGAUGAUGUUGUGGUGCAGAAGGACGUGACUGGGUUGUGGAAGAUUAAUUUAGAUGGGAAGGUGAAUGGAGCUGUUGAGACGUGCUUUGGCUCUUUUCAUCGAUAUGGUCAAUACCUAAACUUCACUCAUCCUCUGAUCAAAGAGAGCUUUAACCCCAAUGCUUGUGCUUGGGCCUUUGGGAUGAAUAUAUUUGAUCUCAAUGCUUGGAGGCGCGAGAAAUGCACAGAUCAAUACCAUUACUGGCAGAACUUGGUAAGCCCCAUAUCUUUCUUAGUAACUUAUGCAUUUCAAAAAAUCUCUUUUAUCUUGUGUUGAUUGUGUGCUAAUCUCUGAGCAGAAUGAAGACAGAAGUCUCUGGAAAUUAGGCACUCUGCCUCCGGGACUGAUGACAUUCUAUUCAAAGACGAAAUCACUGGACAAGUCCUGGCAUGUGCUUGGGUUAGGCUACAACCCGGGAGUGAGCAUGGACGAGAUAAAAAAAGCAGCAGUGAUACAUUACAAUGGGAACAUGAAACCAUGGCUAGACAUUGCUAUGAACCAAUACAAGUCUCUCUGGACUAAAUACGUCGACAACGAAAUGGAGUUUGUGCAGAUGUGCAAUUUUGGUCUUUAAAGAAAGAUAUCGAUGAAGAGGUAACCUCAAAUCGAUAUAUGUUCAGUCAUUCAGGGCAUUCUUUAGCUUAUAUACGUUUAUCUUUUAUAUAUUAUAUAGGGUUACAAAAGUGUUUUGCUUUGUUCUUUCUGUCAUAGUUUUGUUCUUUAUUUAUAUUUUGUGUAACUCUUUCACAUCAAAAGCUUUAUCCAAAACUACAAUGUGUUAAGGUUUGUUUCAUGCAAAGUUUUGACUUAUGAUUGAAACAUUAAAGAGAAAUGGAUUAGGAAGAUAAUGAAUUUUUAUCAUAUGUUGAUUUAGUUUCAUUUUAUUACUAAAAUCAUGAUGAGCUAACUACUUUACAAAACACAAUAAGAUUUUAUCAUAUGUUUGUAUAUCUACAAAAAUAGUUAGAAAUUCAACAAAGUUGUUAUGACCGUUUCUCACCGCAAGACAGAAACUCAAAGAUCCUGUCUCGAGUCAAUGUACGUCCAAACUGCACAAACCCAUCGCACCUUCCGGUCUCUCUGUCUAGGUCAACGAGCGUUGACUUCAAUUUCUCCAGUUCCUCCUCCAUCCCUCCCAUAGCAAAUGCCACAGACGACCGUUUAUUCACGGCGAUGUCCACCGUUAGUCUAAUGGAUCUCUCCACCGCCUCCAACAUACUCACAAGUCUGCUCAUCUUCUCAACCUCCUUGAGAGCCACCAUCGUUUCCCUCUCCAUCGACGUCACUGCUGUCUUUUCCCGUUUCAGAGUUUCCGACGACUCUCUCCACCUCGAAGCAGCAAAGUUAGUCACUGCUUCAACCGGUACAGGUACAAAGAUACCCGCCACGAUUUUUCCCACGGCCACUAGAGCGAUCAUCGCCGCCGCAACCUUGAUCCUUGGAUGCUGUCUUUAUGGAGUACAUUAUAUCAGAUCAAUCCAAAAUACUUUCCUAAAGGUCCAGAUGUGAUGAUUCCUCAAGAUGAAUUAACUGAUCAGCCCAAAUAUAGGAUCUUAUAUCAUAAGCAGGAGACACUGGAGCCUGAAUUGAUGGCAGAGUCAGGUACACCAAGUUUUUAUUCCUAUCAUGUUUUUAAGGAGGGGAUUCAUGGUGUGGAUACUUUGCUCCAUCAUGUUAGCUUAGGACUAUGUUAUGCUACUUAACAGUGAACUUUCUGUCUAGUUAAUAAUGGUAAUUGCUAGAAAAAUGUCAAUGUAGAGAAAUGACUUUUAAUGUUCUGGUUCAGUUGGCUCGUGAACUCUUGCAUAAUAUGCCUCUUAUUGUUUUAGCAGACAUCAUAGAAAGAGCCCGUGGAAUGUCACCCGGAAAAUUAUCCAAGGACAAAACUAAACCAGACUGCUUUCUCAAGAUGGUACUAUGCACAUCCAUUAUAUUUUUUUUUUGAUUUUAUGUUAUAUAUGCUAUGCAACCUUGCUGGUUAUGCUAUUUUUUUAUGCUGUGUUACCUUGAAUACGGAUUUGAUGGUCCUUCUUGGUCAAAAUAUGUUUUCUUAAAAUAUCUUAUUUCUGGUAAGCCUGGAUGAUAUGAGUUUUAUUCCCUUGGCUUGCAUUUAAAUAUUUCAAUCAUGCAGAUUAAAAAUGAAGUCUUGACGAAAGCUGGAAGUACAAAGGAUGUCCGCCACUUCGAGUUCCAAUUUGUUUCUUCUGUAAGUAACUUUGCUAUCACUUACUAACUAGUUUCAAUCAAUUUCUCCUCUUUUAUGAAGUGGUUGUUCAAUUAAUUUCUCCUCUUUGUUUUUUUUUUAAUUCAUUUAAGAGUAUCAAAUAUGAAGUGGGCGAUGUUGUUGAGCUUCUUCCAAGCCAAGAUUCUUCAGCAAUAGAUGCGUUUAUAAAACGCUGUCAUUUGGACCCGGAAUCAUUCAUCACAGUAAGUAGCUCCACUCUGUUGACAUGAUGAUCCCAGAUUGUCUAACUGAAGUAAAUUUUGAUAACUAAUUUACUUUCAGGUUUGUCCGAGAGAGACAGUGAAUAAUGGUUCAUGUGGAGAAGUAAUUACACACCAUGUCCCUAUCAAGCUUAAGACUUUUGUUGAAUUAACAAUGGACGUUACAUCUGCUUCACCUCGACGAUACUUCUUCGAGGUAAGAGUCCUAAUGAUCUUGAAUAUCAGAUUUUUAUAAUGUAAUUUUAAGUAUUUGAUGGAAGUCGUUACAAUGUAUCUUCUCGGUGUCAGGUUAUGAGCUUCUAUGCAACAGCUGAACUUGAGAAGGAAAGACUGCAAUACUUUGCCUCAGCCGAGGGACGUGAUGACCUCUACAAUUACAAUCAGAAGGAAAGAAAAAGCGUCCUUGAGGUAACCAAUUGGGGACACCAUGAUUCGUCUUGAACCAAAUAGAUCUUAUUGCUACUGCCUAUGUAGGUGCUAGAGGAUUUCUCUUCCGUGCAAAUGCCUUUUGAGUGGCUAGUACAGUUAGUACCAUCGCUAAAACCACGAGCUUUUUCGAUAUCUUCAUCUCCUUUGGCCCACCCUGGUCAAGUACAUUUGACAGUAAGCGUGGUAUCAUGGAUCACCCCUUCAUACCCUUAUAAGAGAACUCGAAAAGGUCUAUGCUCCUCUUGGCUCGCAAGCCUCACACCUGAGCAAGGUUAGCACUGUGUUUCUAUGUAUUAUUUUAACUGACUCAGGUCUUUGUUUCUACGUAUUUAUCUUACAUUUUGUGUUCCGUUGUGUUUAGAGAUAAACAUACCGAUUUGGUUUCACAAAGGCUCUCUUCCUGCUCCACCACAGUCGCUUCCACUCAUCUUAGUGGGACCUGGAACCGGAUGUGCCCCUUUCCGCGGGUUCAUAGCUGAGAGAGCCGUGCAAGCUCAGACCAGCCCGAUCGCACCAGUCAUGUUCUUCUUUGGUUGCAGGAACAAAGACACUGACUUUUUAUACAAAGACUUCUGGGAGUCUCAUGCAAGAGAAGGAGGCAUGCUCUCUGAAGUAAAAGGCGGAGGGUUUUACACAGCAUUCUCUAGAGACCAACCGAAGAAGGUUUACGUGCAACACAGGAUACUAGAGAUGAGGAAGAAAGUUUGGGAUUUGCUAUGUGAUGGAGCCGCCGUUUACGUGGCGGGCUCGUCCACGAAAAUGCCUUGUGAUGUGAUGUCGGCCUUGGAGGAGAUUGUGAUGGAGGAGACCGGAGGAUCAAAGGAAAUGGCUUCACGGUGGCUCAAGGCUUUGGAGAAAGCUGGGAGAUACAAUGUUGAAGCUUGGUCUUAAACCCAACUUCCUCCAUAUCAUGUAAUGUUUGAUUACUAGCUAUACGAAUCAUUGGAUUAUUUAUUUAUUUAAAUUGAUUUUAUAAUAUUCACAUUGAACGGUUCAAAUGAAGAUGAUUUGUUUGAUUGUAUACAUUUGAACUUUAUUUAUAAUUUAAUUUUAAUUUUUUUUAUAUAACGAGGUUCUUACCUUUUUCAUUUUAACUAGAGUUUGUUGAAUAAAUCAUUCACCUCACUGAAUAAUACAAGAUUUCAGUGUUUAUAUAAAAAUCAUCAAUUAAAUAACAUCAGAUUUUAAACAGAACUGAAAAUCAACGUACAAUGUCAAUUACUCAAUUUUUUUAUUUAUUAAUUUAUUGUAUAAUAACACUUUAGUUAUUUUUCAAAUGUUUUCGAUCGGCAAAUUUAAUAGAAUAUAUUUAUUCUUCAAUUAAUCAUUGAGUGGCAAAAUUAAAAAUGAAAUAAUCAAUUGUUAUAAAAUGGACAGAAACUAUUAUUUUUCUAAAUUUGUUUAUUUUUUUAAAAAAAAUUGUGCAGUCAAAGUGUUAGUUGAUAAUAAUUCUACACAAACAAUACUUUCAAGUAUUAAAGCUGCUGGUUUCAAAUACUUUGGUAAUAAAAUGUUAAUGUCCUAAAGUAUAUAGGUGAGACUGGGGUUUUAAUAAUAUUGAGAGUUUAUAUCUACACUAUAAAUUAGUAAUUGUUUAUUAAACCAAUGAUUAAUGACAUUAACGUGUCUUCUUCACUAAAAUGUCUUGAGAUCUCUAUCCAUCCCAUCACUCUCCAGAGGCUAAUUCACACUCUAUCGGGCAAGCAAGAACCUCAUCCCCAUCUGAACUUUUUUUUUUUUAAACUGACUUAUAAAAGGUAAAGCUAAAUGGCGGUGGCCUUCCAUGGAGGCCGGAACGGCGUCGGAUCGGGACUCCGCAGUUUCUUCUCGUACCGGAUCUUCAUCUCCGCCUUGUUCUCUUUCCUCUUCCUCGCCACCUUCUCCGUUGUCCUCAACUCCUCUCGUCACCAACCUCAUCUCGAUCACGUAAGCUUCCGAUUCGUUUCACAAUCCGAAUCAAAAUUUAGAAAUGAAUUUAGAAUCUGAGCUUCGAUUUUUGGUGUUUAGACAUUGCCGAGGACGUUUCAAUCGGAUCCGUUGAAAGCUAGGUUAGAUCUGAUCCACAAGCAAGCCACCGAUCACCUCACGCUUGUGAACGCUUACGCUGCUUACGCUAGGAAGCUCAAGCUCGACGCGUCGAAGCAGCUGAAGCUCUUCGAAGAUCUGGCGGUUAACUUCUCCGAUCUGCAGGCCAAACCUGGACUGAAGCUCGAAAACGGGAACGCGAUCGAGGAGGAUGCGUUUCGGCAGAUCGAGAAAGAGGUUAAAGAUAAGGUGAAGACCGCGAGGAUGAUGAUCGUUGAGUCCAAAGAGAGUUACGAUACACAGCUCAAGAUCCAGA